rnacentral:rRNA from 1 species
UACGUAGGGUGCAAGCGUUGUUCGGAAUCAUUGGGCGUAAAGCGCGUGUAGGCGGUCAAGUAAGUCUUGUGUGAAAUCCCUGGGCUCAACCGAGGAAGUGCAUGGGAAACUACUUGGCUUGCAGACGGUAGAGGAAGGUGGAAUUCCAAGUGUAGAGGUGAAAUUCGUAGAUAUUUGGAGGAAUACCGGUGGCGAAGGCGGCCUUCUGGACCGAUCUGGACGCUGAGGAGCGAAAGCGUGGGGAGCGAACAGG